AUCUUUGAAAGACAGGAUUCUGAAAAGGGGACAUUUCUUUUUUUGCUGCGUUUAUGUCAAUGAAGUAACAGAUUCAUUUUUAAAAUCUACAGAACAAAAGAGCAUCAUGUGCCACAGUAAAUAGUGAUGAAUUUAUCAAAUCAACCCCUAAAUUUGUUUUGGGCUAAAUCUCCUCCUCGUAUUUGUUUUGGCUCUGUGUGUGAUAUCAGCGCUGCGUUUGCGAACUUGUGCAAUGCUGUUUCCAACUGAACAAGAGGGGAGAGACAGCAGAUGUAUUGACGUCCAAUCAACCUGAUGUUCCCUUUUGUGCAACCCCUUGUGUAAUGGAAAAUGAUUUGAUUCAUUAUUUCCAUGUAUUUGAUAAACUGUUGAUAUGGAUUGAUAUGUACUAAACAUGAUCGUAGAUGCAUUCCCUUUGUGGAAUGGAAACGGGAGUUAACCAUGUAUGUAUCAGGUAUGAAGAUAAGACCCAGAUGCAGACAAGUCAAAUUAACAAUGGUUUAAUAAUGCAGCAGGGGCAAUAAGACAGGUCAAGACAGGCAGGGUUCUGUAAACCAAAGGUGGGGCAAUAAGACAGGUCAAGGCAGGCAGGGUUCUGUAAACCAGAGGUGGGGCAAUAAGACAGGUCAAGGCAGGCAGGGUUCUGUAAACCAGAGGUGGGGCAAUAAGACAGGUCAAGGCAGGCAGGGUUCUGUAAACCAGAGGUGGGGCAAUAAGACAGGUCAAGGCAGGCAGGGUUCUGUAAACCAGAGGUGGGGCAAUAAGACAGGUCAAGGCAGGCAGGGUUCUGUAAACCAGAGGUGGGGCAAUAAGACAGGUCAAGGCAGGCAGGGUUCUGUAAACCAGAGGUGGGGCAAUAAGACAGGUCAAGGCAGGCAGGGUUCUGUAAACCAGAGGUGGGGCAAUAAGACAGGUCAAGGCAGGCAGGGUUCUGUAAACCAGAGGUGGGGCAAUAAGACAGGUCAAGGCAGGCAGGGUUCUGUAAACCAGAGGUGGGGCAAUAAGACAGGUCAAGGCAGGCAGGGUUCUGUAAACCAGAGGUGGGGCAAUAAGACAGGUCAAGGCAGGCAGGGUUCUGUAAACCAGAGGUGGGGCAAUAAGACAGGUCAAGGCAGGCAGGGUUCUGUAAACCAGAGGUGGGGCAAUAAGACAGGUCAAGGCAGGCAGGGUUCUGUAAACCAGAGGUGGGGCAACGGUACCGGAUGACAGGCAGGCUCUGGGUAGGCAGAAGUACAGGUCGGCAGGAUAGCUCAGGGU